rnacentral:rRNA from 1 species
GACGAACGCUGGCGGCGUGCCUAAUACAUGCAAGUCGAACGCUGAAGAGAGGAGCUUGCUCUUCUUGGAUGAGUUGCGAACGGGUGAGUAACGCGUAGGUAACCUGCCUUGUAGCGGGGGAUAACUAUUGGAAACGAUAGCUAAUACCGCAUAACAAUGGAUGACCCAUGUCAUUUAUUUGAAAGGGGCAAAUGCUCCACUACAAGAUGGACCUGCGUUGUAUUAGCUAGUAGGUGAGGUAACGGCUCACCUAGGCGACGAUACAUAGCCGACCUGAGAGGGUGAUCGGCCACACUGGGACUGAGACACGGCCCAGACUCCUACGGGAGGCAGCAGUAGGGAAUCUUCGGCAAUGGGGGCAACCCUGACCGAGCAACGCCGCGUGAGUGAAGAAGGUUUUCGGAUCGUAUAGCUCUGUUGUAAGUCAAGAACGAGUGUGAGAGUGGAAAGUUCUCACUGUGACGGUAGCUUACCAGAAAGGGACGGCUAACUACGUG